AGCGAACGCUGGCGGCAGGCCUAACACAUGCAAGUCGAACGAACCUUUCGGGGUUAGUGGCGGACGGGUGAGUAACACGUGGGAACGUGCCCUUAGGUUCGGAAUAACUCAGGGAAACUUGUGCUAAUACCGAAUGUGCCCUUCGGGGGAAAGAUUUAUCGCCUUUAGAGCGGCCCGCGUCUGAUUAGCUAGUUGGUUGAGGUAAUGGCUCACCAAGGCGACGAUCAGUAGCUGGUCUGAGAGGAUGAUCAGCCACAUUGGGACUGAGACACGGCCCAGACUCCUACGGGAGGCAGCAGUGGGGAAUCUUGCACAAUGGGCGAAAGCCUGACGCAGCCAUGCCGCGUGAAUGAUGAAGGUCUUAGGGUUGUAAAAUUCUUUCACCGGGGACGAUAAUGACGGUACCCGGAGAAGAAGCCCCGGCUAACUUCGUG
rnacentral:rRNA from 1 species